rnacentral:rRNA from 1 species
UGCGAAGGGGGCUAGCGUUGUUCGGAUUUACUGGGCGUAAAGCGCGUGUAGGCGGACUUGUAAGUUGGGGGUGAAAUCCCGAGGCUCAACCCUCGGAACUGCCUACCAAAACUACAAGUCUGGAGCAAGAUAGAGGCAAGUGGAAUUGCGAGUGUAGAGGUGAAAUUCGUAGAUAUUCGCAGGAACACCAGUGGCGAGGCGAACUUGCUG